rnacentral:rRNA from 1 species
AGAGCGAACGCUGGCGGCAGGCCUAAUACAUGCAAGUCGAACGGACCCUUCGGGGUUAGUGGCGGACGGGUGAGUAACACGUGGGAACGUGCCCUUUGGUUCGGAACAACUCAGGGAAACUUGAGCUAAUACCGAAUGUGCCCUUUGGGGGAAAGAUUUAUCGCCAUUGGAGCGGCCCGCGUCUGAUUAGCUAGUUGGUGAGGUAAAGGCUCACCAAGGCGACGAUCAGUAGCUGGUCUGAGAGGAUGAUCAGCCACACUGGGACUGAGACACGGCCCAGACUCCUACGGGAGGCAGCAGUAGGGAAUCUUGCGCAAUGGGCGAAAGCCUGACGCAGCCAUGCCGCGUGAAUGAUGAAGGUCUUAGGAUUGUAAAAUUCUUUCAGCGGGGACGAUAAUGACGGUACCCGCAGAAGAAGCCCCGGCUAACUUCGCGCCAGCAGCCGC